UACGUAGGGUGCAAGCGUUAAUCGGAAUUACUGGGCGUAAAGCGUGCGCAGGCGGUUAUGUAAGUCAGAUGUGAAAUGCCCGGGCUUAACCUGGGAACUGCAUUUGUGACUGCAUGGCUAGAGUUUGGCAGAGGGGGGUAGAAUUCCACGUGUAGCAGUGAAAUGCGUAGAUAUCAGAAGGAACAUCAGUGGCGAAGGCGGCUUCCUGGACCAAUACUGACGAUCAGGUGCGAAAGCGUGGGGAGCAAACAGG
rnacentral:rRNA from 1 species